UGCCAGACUCCUACGUGAGGCAGCAGUAGGGAAUCUUCCACAAUGGACGAAAGUCUGAUGGAGCAACGCCGCGUGAGUGAAGAAGGGUUUCGGCUCGUAAAGCUCUGUUGGUAGUGCAGAAAGAUAGAGGUAGUAACUGGCCUUUAUUUGACGGUAAUUACUUAGAAAGUCACGGCUAACUACGUGCCAGCAGCCGCGGUAAUACGUAGGUGGCAAGCGUUGUCCGGAUUUAUUGGGCGUAAAGCGAGUGCAGGCGGUUCAAUAAGUCUGAUGUGAAAGCCUUCGGCUCAACCGGAGAAUUGCAUCAGAAACUGUUGAACUUGAGUGCAGAAGAGGAGAGUGGAACUCCAUGUGUAGCGGUGGAAUGCGUAGAUAUCGCGCAGAACUCCGAUUGCGAAGGCAGCGUACCGGCGCCAGACUGACGCUGAGGCACGAAAGCGUGGGGAUCGAACAGGAUUAGAUACCCUUGUA
rnacentral:rRNA from 1 species